GGUACUCGGGUCAUCUGAGAACUGUGUAGACUUCAUUAUUGGAGGAUAUUAAAGGCAACUGAAUGAAUUGGACAAAAUGUGAGCAUUGGUGGAAGUACGGACCAAGGAUAGAAAGCUCCGGGAAGCAGGAGUGGCUUGAUGUUCUGAUUGUUCCUGAUGCUCCUGAGGUAAUAACAGAAGCAGGGGAUUCUCCUACUGUACAGCAUCCAUUUGAUCUUCAGAGGGUUUUUUUGGUUGUGCUUUCUAUGAAAGCUGCAUUCCAAACAGCACUUUCCACUCACGAAUGCAGAAUUGUAUUAUUACUGUGAAUGUAACAUGUUAUUUUACAUUUUAAACAAGGAGUUGGUGUUCUACCUGGGUAAGUGCCAUCAGCGUUAGAUGACACACAAUUAAAACUGAAUGUCAAAACCUGAUUUUCUAAGGCAAAUGUUUAAAAUGGCAUGCGUGCCUAUUUUUAGAUCAAAACCCCUUAUCAAUCCGUACACUGGCUUUCCUAGCAAAUACGAACGUGCAGACCAUGGCAGUAUGAAUCAUCAGCUUGCCUCUGAUCAGAAUUCAGGGUGUGCUCUGGAUUGUGUAUAAUACUAAUUGAGUUUGGCUUUGCACCUGAAAGCACACACUUUAUUUUGAGUGCAUGGGAAUAUCAUUUGAGGAAAGACUGCUUUAUAUUUCAAUGAAAUUUGCUUUUAAAUUUUGAGGAAAUCAUUAAGGGCAUUUUUUUUUUUUCCUCAAGGCUGCUGCAGACGUACAUUUUGGUUCAUGGGAGAUGAAUUCCUAAGACUAAAAUCAUGAUUUCAUUAUUCUGUAAUGUUUAUGUCACGGUAGUACUUAGAGCCUCUUCUUGCUGUUCCUGUAAAGUUCUUCCCAAAUUCACUAACUCAUAAUAAUCUCAAAAGUCACUAUUUGCACAUGCUUAGCAGAUGGUUCCUAGGAGAUGGCUGCUAAAACUACACUGCAUUUAGCAUCCUCAAUGUGGGGCUUUGCAAUAGCUUUUUUUGGAAGCCAGGGGCUGCUCUGGUCCCUGGCAAUUCUGUUAAGUCCAUGGAGAUUGUUUAGAUUGUUUACCUAUAUACAUUUUGUGCAUCCUCCACUGAUAUCAUGGGAGGUGAAUUAGUCUGACUGGAAUGGCAAGGAACAGAGAUGAAUGGAAAUGCAGAAAUUGUAGGAAGCUGCUGGGGAAUAAUGGUGCAAAGGGAGAAUGGGUCCAGGUAGAAUAUAACACCAGGAGUGAAUGCCAGGCUUGGGGUACACACUGCUUACAGGACUGGGAAAUGAACAGAGAUACCUUUGUAACUACCACUGUGCAUC
rnacentral:lncRNA from 1 species